rnacentral:rRNA from 1 species
GAAUAUUGGACAAUGGGCGAAAGCCUGAUCCAGCCAUUCCGCGUGUGUGAAGAAGGCCUUUUGGUUGUAAAGCACUUUAAGCGAGGAGGACGCGACUUGGAGUAAUACUCUCGGAUAGUGGACGUUACUCGCAGAAGAAGCACCGGCUAACUUUGUGCCAGCAGCCGCGGUAAGACAGAGGGUUCGAGCGUUCAUCGGAUUUACUGGGCGUAAAGCGUGCGUAGGCGGCUUGUUAAGUCGGAUGUGAAAUCCCUGAGCUUAACUUAGGAAUUGCAUUCGAUACUGGGAAGCUAGAGUAUGGGAGAGGAUGGUAGAACUCCAGGUGUAGCGGUGAAAUGCGUAGAGAUCUGGAGGAAUACCGAUGGCGAAGGCAGCCAUCUGGCCUAAUACUGACGCUGAGGUACGAAAGCAUGGGGAGCAAA